UACGUAGGGGGCUAGCGUUGUCCGGAAUCAUUGGGCGUAAAGAGCGUGUAGGCGGCUUGGUAAGUCCGCUGUGAAAGUCCAGGGCUCAACCCCUGGAAAGCCAGUGGAUACUGUCAAGCUAGAGUCCGGAAGAGGCGAGUGGAAUUCCUGGUGUAGCGGUGAAAUGCGCAGAUAUCAGGAGGAACACCAAUGGCGAAGGCAGCUCGCUGGGACGGUACUGACGCUGAGACGCGAAAGCGUGGGGAGCAAACAGG
rnacentral:rRNA from 1 species